rnacentral:lncRNA from 1 species
UUGGGAUGGAGGAAAGUGGUGGUGAUGAUAGAAGGGGGAGGGAUGAGAUUUCCCUUUUAGCAGAAGAACUUAUUCAAUUAUCGGUAAAGGAAUCGAUGGUGGUGCCAACUGACAAACCGACUUUGAUUUGUACAAUAUGGACAGAGAAGUUUUACAAUCCUGAAAGUUUUAAAGCGCAGAUGAGAAGUAUACGGAAGACAAAGAAAAACUUUGAGAUUAUGAUUGUAGGGCAGAAUUUAUUUUUGUUGAAGUUUGAUCUAGAUGAGGAUCUAGAGGCAAUUAUGGAAGGGAGACCAUGGUUUUUUCGAAAGAGUGUUAUUCUGUUUGACAGGUUAACUAAACGGAUAGAGAGGGCUCAGAUCCGUCUGACGUCAUCACCGUUUUGGAUAAAAAUAGGUUCGUGUUUACCAGAGUUUGAUAAAAAUGAUCUUCUACAUGCCAUUGGUGUUACGUUUGGGGGGUUAUCAGAUCUGAAAUCAAUGGGAAUUUAUGCCGAUUGAAGAUUAAUUUAGAUGUGCGGAAACCCUUACGAAGAGGUAUUUUUGUUUCAACCGAAAAUUUUAAUAAAUCGUGGAUUUCUUUUAAGUAUGAGAAACUUCCUAUGUUUUGUUUUGGCUGUGGAAGAAUCGAACAUAAUCUCAAAGAAUGUCAUGUGCUAAACCCUGUUGAAAAAGAGAAAAUCGAAAAAGAUCCAAAUUACACGUUGGCCUUAAAAACAGAAUCGAAUUUAAUUGGGAAGGAGAAUAUGAAAUUUAACGCUUUUUCAAAUAAGGUGAGGGUUUAGAGCUCCUAUACAGGGGGUAAAGAGUUGCUGUCAACCAAUUUUAUAACAUCUAUGGAGGAGAAUAAUACGGUUUGGAUGAAAGCAGAGCCCAUUGAAAAGCAAGAGGAAGCUUCUAUAAUAAGAGAAGAUGACGAGCUGGAUGAAAGCAAAAUAAGACUGUUAAUUUUUCAAAUAUUACAAAGAAGACAAGCUGGAAAAGAAGAGCUCAAAUUUUCAUGUUGAAUCAAGAGAAGAGUGAUAAUGGUACAAGGAAGAGGAAAACCCCCGAAGAAGAAACUGAUAGCUUCCGUAUGGGGUUGGUGUAUGAUGAAAGGAUAAAAAGAUUGAAACAAGGGAAAGAGGGUCGUGAGAACGUUCUAUCUGAAGCAACGUUGGAUACUAUGGUACAGGAAGAUGCUCCACAAUUUAUAGGAUCAGCGGCUGCCAGUAGGUAAGCCGACCUAAUACAAUGAAAAGCAUAAGCUGGAAUGUCAGUGGAUUGGGGAGUUCACAGGCAGUGAGAAGGCUGCGGUACUUUUUACAGCAGUAUAAUCCCCACAUGGUCUUCUUAAUGGAGACAAAAAUUGAUAAGCAACGUACGGAUUAAGUUAGAAGGAGUUGUGGAUAUCUGAAUGGGAUUGACGUUGAAGCAGAGGGAUCGCGAGGUGGUCUAUGUUUAGCCUGGAAAGAUGGUAUAGAAGUGGCUCUAAGGAGUUUCUCUAAAAAUCACAUUGAUGUCAUGUUCAAAGAAGCAAGGGAUAAAAAAGAAUGGAGGUUUACAGGUUUCUCUGGUAUACCUUACGCUAACAACAAAAGUGCUUCGUGGAAUUUGGUGAAAAAAUUGGGGGAAGAUAAAAUUCAUCCAUGGUUGGUGAGUGGGGACUUCAAUGAAAUUAUGUAUUCUUUUGAAAAGAAGUGAGGGGCACCAAUGGAGGAGAAAAGAAUUGAGGCAUUCUGUGAGACUCUUGAAGAAUGUCAGUUAGAAGACAUGGGAUAUUCAGGGGCUUGGUUUACAUGGGAAAGAGGUAACUUGCCUGAAACAAAUAAGGGAAAGACUUGACAGGGGAGUUGUGAAUGAUAAAUGGUGGCAAAUUUUCCCAACGAGUUAUAUUCAACAUUUACCUCAGUCAAUGUCUGAUCAUUGCCCUUUUCUUCUAAACACAAAUAGCGAAAACUCUGGAAGAAACAUUGGAAGAAAAAAUUAAGGCAUCAUGGGGGUCAUCGGCAAACAUAAUAACGGAGAAACUCAAAAGAUUACAAUCUGAUCUAUUGGCAUGGGCUAGAUUAAUCAAAAAUGAGAGACAGAGAUUAAAGAAAAAGCUCACAAAGGAUCUUGAUAUCUUAAUGGAGGAGAAGAGGGACGAUGAUACAUUAAGCAAAAUUAUUGACACAUGGGUUUUUCUAAAUAUGGAAAUUGAUAAAGAUGAACUCUACUGGGAGCAAAGGGCUAGAGCAAAUUGGCUUAAAGUAGGUGAUAAGAAUUCAGCCUUUUUCCAUAAGUUUGCCUCCACCAGAAGGCGUAUUAAUACGAUUUCUCGGCUGGAGAUCGAAGGAGGAAGAGAGAUUACUGAGUCAAGUCUGAUCAACGAAACUGCUACCUCAUUUUUUCAAAAGUUAUUCACAUCAACUGGAGUUGGGAAUCUAUCAUAUCUCUUAAAUGGCAUUGAAAAUUGUAUCUCUCCAGAUGUUAAUCGGGCAUUACUAUUAGCUUAUUCUGAAGAGGCAUUCAGCUUUAAAGGGAAUAGGGCCUACUAAAGCACCAGGACCUGACGAUUUCCCUCCUAUAUUUUUUCAAAAAUUUUGGCACAUAGUAGGGAAGGAGGUUACGAAGUUUUGUUUGGGAAUUUGAAAUUGUAACCAGAAUCUGGAUUCUAUCAACCAAACAGAUAUUGUGUUGAUUCCAAAAAUCCCAAAUCCUACAAGUCUGGCCAAUUUUAGACCUAUAAGUUUGUGUUCGGUCCUUUAUACAAUGGUGGCAAAAACAAUUGCUAAUCGACUUCAAGGAGUAAUUGAGAAAUGUAUUGAUGAAGCUCAGAGUGCAUUUGUCCCAAGCAGAUUGAUUUCAGAUAAUGUGCUUUUGGCUCAUGAGAUUUUGCAUACUUUUCGGAAUAAGCGAACUGGUAAAAAGGGAUAUAUGGCAGUCAAGCUUGAUAUGAGCAAAGCCUAUGAUAGAGUUGAGUGGGUUUUUCUUAAAGAAGUAAUGCUGAAAAUGGGCUUUGCAGGGGAAUGGGUGGAGUUAAUCAUGAAAUGUAUUAGUACAGCGUCUUUUGCAGCGAAUACAAAUGGGGAAAGAGGAAGAAUUUUUCAAUUGAUUAGGGGUUUACGUCAAGGAGAUCCCCUUAGUCCUUUUCUUUUUUAUUUUGUAGUGAGGGUCUUUCAUCCUUAAUGCGUUUGGAAAAUGAAGGUCUGAUGAAAAGUGCAAAGGUUAGUAGGAGAGGCCCGGAGAUUUCACAACUCCUUUUUACAGACGAUUAUAUACUGUUCGGGGAAGCAUCGGAUAGGGGGGCGAGAAUUUUAAAGGGAAUCCUACAGGAGUACGAAAGGUGUUCAGGUCAAUGUGUCAAUUUUGAUAAAUCUACUAUUUUCUAUAGUUCGAACACAUCAGAAGAGAAGGAAAGCGAAGUCUUAACAAUAUUAGGGAUAAGAAGAUCAACAAAUAUGGAAAAGUACCUAGUGUUAGAAUUGUGUGACCCAAAUUCUAAGAGAUUGCUUGCAAGUCAAGUUAAACAAAAAUAUAUUUUCUUUCUAGAAGAUUUAGUAUUUAUUAGUAUAAUAUAUUUAGCAUUUAUUAGUAUAGUUUAUUUGACUUACUAAUUUAGCCUAUAAAUAGGCUCCUUUACAAUCUUAGAAUCAUGAGACACCCAUUAGAUUAGAACUCAUAACACAUUCAGAGAAUUUUAUGUUUACGUUUGAGGGUUCUUUGUUUUUCGGGUUUUCAAGGUUUAGUUUUUAUCUCCAUCUUUUGUACUCUUCAUUCUUUUGCCAUUAUAGUAAAAUUAUCUUUACCCGUGGUUUUUUAUCCUCUUUUGAGGGGUUUUUCCACGUUAAAUUUGUGUGUUUAUCUUCUCAAUUUCUUCUACUAUUUUUACUUGUUCGUUACUUAUUCGGGACGAUCCUAACAAGUGGUAUUAGAGCUAGUUUAACUUUCAUAGAUCAGCCCGAUCAGAGAUGGCAGCAACAAGGUUUGAAAUUGAGAAGUUCGAUGGUGAGACAAAUUUCAAUCUAUGGCAAGUUCGGAUGAUGGCAAUUCUAGUUCAAAAUGGCUUGAAAAAGGUUGUUACAGGGAAAAAGCCUAAGAAUCUAAAUCAAACAGAAUGGGAAGAGCUUGAUGAAAAGGCCUUGUCUGCAAUCCAGUUGUGCCUCGCGAAUACAGUAUUGCAGGAGGUAUUGAUGGAAAAAACCUCAUUCGCCUUGUGGAAAAGGUUAGAAACUUUUUAUGCGACUAAGUCUUUGGCUAACCGUUUAGUGUUGAAACAACGUCUAUUUACAUUUCGCAUGAACGAAGGUGAGCUUCUUAAAGAUCACAUCAGUCAAUUCAUUACUCUUUUAAAUGAUUUAAAGAACGUUGAGGUUCAUAUUGACGGUGAAAAUCAAGCUAUGCUAUUAUUGUGCUCUUUACCCUCUUCAUACAAGUCUUUCAGGGAGACCCUGAUUUAUGGCAGAGACAAACUCUCGUUUGAAGAUGUGAAUGGUCAUUUGUUGAGUAGAGACAAACUCGACAAUGAGUUUGAUUUGAAUAGCAAAGCAGAUAGAUAAGGUUCCGUUUUGGUAGCAUCAAAGAAACGAGACAAGGUGUCGCUAUUGCAAAAAGUUAGGUCACGUCAAAGCAGAUUGUUAUAAACUGCGAAAUAAAAGAACUGCUGAGAGUAACGAGGAAGAUGUAACUGGUGCUAAUUUGGUCAAUGAAGGCGGUGAUGAUUUCUUGUUAGUGUCAACGAGAGAUAACUCGAAGCUUACGUCUGAGUGGAUCCUAAAUUCAGGAUGUUCUUUCCACAUGUGUCCCAAUAGAGAAUGGUUCUCCACAUACAGUUCAGUUGAAAGUGGAGUUGUGCACAUGGGAAACGAUUCAUCUAGUAAAAUAAUCGGUAUUGGUACUGUUAAUAUUAGGAUACACGAUGAGACGAUUAGGACACUCUCAGAUGUCAGGUAUGUACCUGAUUUACGAAAGAAUCUCAUCUCAUUGAGUAUUUUAGACUUGAAAGGAUGCAGAAUCAACAUCGAGUCGAGCGACAUUAAAGUAUCUCGUGGAGCUCUCGUUUUGUUAAAAAGGAAAAGAACUGACAGUCUUUAUAUUCUGGAAGGUUCUACAGUGACCGGUGAAAUCGGACGUCCCUCAUCCGUUACGGAGUCAAAGUCAACUCAUUUGAAGCGGAGGCAACUUGGUCAUAGGAGGGAAAAAGGCAUGACCGUUUCGUUGAAGAGAGGUUCUCUUUUGGAUGCAGGUUUUGAAAAGUUAGGGCACUGUAUUCGUGAAAAUCAGACCCGGGUUAAUUUUGAUUUGGCAGUGCACAAGUCGAAAGCUAGAAGUCUUCCAGCUUCUAAGCAUAAAUUCGACUCAUUUAAUUCCCUGCAUAGUUCAAGAUAGGCCCGUGGCGGGUUUUGACAAAGAUGACAUUGAAAGAAUUCGUGUCAAGGUGGAGAUUGUUAAAAUUGUGUGACCCAAAUUCUAAGAGAUUACUUGCAAGUCAAGUUAAACAAAAAUAUAUUUUCUUUCUAGAAAAUUUAGUAUUUAUUAGUAUAAUAUAUUUAGCAUUUAUUAGUAUAAUUUAUUUGACUUACUAAUUUAGCCUAUAAAUAGGCUCCUUUACAAUCUUAGAAUCAUGAAACACCCAUUAGAUUAGAACUCAUAACACAUUCAGAGAAUUUUGUGUUUACGUUUGAGGGUUCUUUGUUUUUCGGAUUUUCGAAGUUUAGUUUUUAUCUCCAUCUUUUGUACUCUUCAUUCUUUUGCCAUUAUAAUAAAAUUAUCUUUGCCCGUGAUUUUUUAUCCUCUUUUGAGAGAUUUUUCCACGUUAAAUUUAUGUGUUUAUCUUCUCAAUUUCUUCUACUAUUUUUACUUGUUCGUUGCUUAUUCGGGACGAUCCUAACAUCUAGGCCUUCCUAAUAUAAUUGGGAAGGAGUCCUUUCAAAAUCUAAGAGAGAAGAUUCAAUCUAGAAUUAAAGGAAGUCUAGAAUUCACAAGGGGGAAAAGAAGUUUUCAUAAAAUCAGUACUUCAAGCUAUCCCAACCUAUGCUAUGUCCUGUUUUCUUUUACCAAAAUCUCUUUGUGGGGAGUUUGAAAGCAUUUUUGCUAAUUUCUGGUGGCAAAAAGCACAUGGGAAAAAGGGUAUCCAUUGGUGUCAGUGAGUAUUUAUGCCGAUCUAAGGAAUAAGGGGGAAUGGGUUUUAGGAACAUGGCACAAUUUAACGUCUCACUUCUAGCUAAGCAAGGAUGGAGAAUUUUGAAUAACCCAAACUCUUUGGUUGCGCAAGUUUUAAAAGCAAAAUAUUUUUCGAGUGAAUUUUUUUGAUUCGCGUUUGAAAUACAACUGUUCGUAUGCAUGGAAGAGUAUAUGGGCUACGAAAGGCUUUUUAGAGAAGGGACUGUAUUGGAAGGUGGGAAGGGGUACAAAUAUAUCAGUUGUAAAUGAUGUUUGGAUUCCUGAUUUAAGUUUCACCAGAUUAUCAUCUUUAGUUUAUAAUUUGAGUGAUGUUAAAGUUGCUGAGUUAAUUAACACUAAUAGUAGACUGUGGAAAAAAGAGUUGAUUGAGUCUACCUUUCCAGAAGAAGUAGCUGAUAGGAUUCUUCGCAUUCCAUUGGCAGUUGAGCCUCACGAUGAUCUUCUGGCAUGGAGCGGUGAGCCUUCGAGUGAGUAUGCAGUUCGUAGUGCCUAUAAACUAUUACAAAGUUUGGAUGAAGAUCCUAGAGCUUAUGAGUUACAAACCGACUACAAGAGCUUCUAUAAAAAACUAUGGCUACUUAACCUACCUUCAAAAAUAAAAAUAACAGUAUGGAAAGUAACAUGGAACUAUCUUCCUUUACGGGCAAACAUGCAACAAAGAAGAUUGACAAACAUUAUAAUCUGCCCGAGGUGUGGGAGUGGGACAGAGACGAUGAAUCACUUAUUUAGAGAAUGCCCGAUUUCAGUAUCAGUAUGGGGAGAAUUAGCAUGCCAGAUUUUUCUAUCUGAAUAUAAUUUGGAGUUCCCAGAGUGGCUAGUCUGGGUCUUUGAACAGAGUAAUCCAGUCCAGUGUAGGAUUUUCUGCUGCACUUUAUGGGCAAUCUGGGGAGAUAGAAACGCAAGAGUGCAUAAAAAGGUUAGUAAAUCUGGAAAAGAGAUAGUAAACUUUGUCCACAGUUAUAUUCUUGAAUUAAAUGAGAUCGAAACGAGAAGGCCAAAAGUUUUUCCAGUUGUCAGUAAAUGGAAGCACCCACCUGAUCAGUUUGUGAAGAUCAACUUUGAUGCUGCAUAUGAUGUGAGAUCUUCUCAUGCGGCACUCGAAAUUGUGGCCAGGAACAGCGAAGGAAAGGUUCUCUUGGCAUGCUCGGAAAUCCACAAUCAAGUCGCCUCAGCCUUUGUUGCUGAGGCAAUCGCGUGUAGAAGUGCAACUCAACUCGGCAUGGACAUGAAAUGGGGAAACAUUAUCAUUGAAGGGGAUUCAUUAACAAUAAUCAAGAAGUGCAGAACAAAGAGCCAAUAUAAGUCAUUGAUAGGGGCGUAUAUACAUGAUAUUCAACAGAUCUCGCUUAAAACUCAAAAAUACAGUUUUGAAUAUACUCCAAGAACAGCAAAUCGUCUAGCACAUUUCAUUGCAAUCGAAACAAUGAAAAGCAAGAAGGAAGUUUACCUCAUAGGAAGAGUCCCCGAAUAUGCAGAAAAAUUGAAGGAGAGGAUAGUGUGAGAGAACCAGAUUGAAGGAAAUAUAAGGUUGAAGAUGGAAAAUGGAGAGGUUAGAGUGGAUAAUCAAUAGGCUCGGCUAAGAAGCUCUCCUUGGGAAUCUGGAAUAGUCUUUAACAAGUAAUGUCAGAUGAUAAGAAAAGACGAUUUUUCCAAAGCGUUUUCAGAUUAGGAAUAGUGAUAAAUAAUGAAUGCGUUUUACAGAAC